rnacentral:rRNA from 1 species
GAGGGGUCCAUCCCGGAUUACCAAUCUCAGAUAAACUCCGAAUGCCAACGAGAUAUAAUCGGCAGUCAGACUGCGAGAGCUAAGGUCCCAAAAUAUAUGUUAAGUGGAAAAGGAUGUGGGGUUGCACAGACAACUAGGAUGUUAGCUUAGAAGCAGCUAUUCAUUCAAAGAGUGCGUAAUAGCUCACUAGUCGAGUGACCCUGCGCCGAAAAUGUACCGGGGCUAAAACAUAUUACCGAAGCUGUGGAUGACACAAAAGUGUCAUGGUAGGAGAGCGUUCUAUGUGUGAAGAAGGUGUACCGUGAGGAGCGCUGGAACGCAUAGAAGUGAGAAUGCCGGUAUGAGUAGCGCAAGACAGGUGAGAAUCCUGUCCACCGUAAGACUAAGGUUUCCAGGGGAAGGCUCGUCCGCCCUGGGUUAGUCGGGACCUAAGGAGAGACCGAAAGGUGUAUCCGAUGGACAACAGGUUGAUAUUCCUGUACUAGAGUAUAUAGUGAUGGAGGGACGCAGUAGGCUAACUAAACCAGACGAUUGGAAGUGUCUGGU